CGCGCAGGCGGCCUUUUAAGUUGGAUGUGAAAGCCUACGGCUCAACCGUAGAACUGCAUCCAAAACUACUAGACUAGAGUCUGGGAGGGGAAGAUGGAAUUAGUUGUGUAGGGGUAAAAUCCGUAGAGAUAACUAGGAAUACCAAAAGCGAAGGCAAUCUUCUGGAACAGUACUGACGCUGAGGCGCGAAAGCGUGGGGAGCAAACA
rnacentral:rRNA from 1 species